CGAGGCAUCCCCGAUCCAUCCAGCAUCUUCUCGCGCAGUCUUCUUCGCCCCGCUGCCACAGUCCCGGCGCCCCAGGCCCUGCGCAGAUGAAGACCCUCCCUCGGACGGCUUUGCGGGCCCUGCCUCAGCCGGCGCCCCCUUCUCUCCUGCAGGACCCGGACCCGCACUGCAGGGGCUGAGUGCCCCCUGGGUCGGCGUCUGAGUCUUGCCUCCCCGUAGGCUCAGUACCUGGCAUGUGUCCAAGGCUCAGCAGCUGUACCACAACCACCCAACAGGAGAGAAGGAAAGGAGAGGUGCACCCCGGGGAUGUGGUGAGGCCAUCCCGUCAUGGGGAAUCAGAAAAGGACUGCGUCUUAGCCAGCCAGCUGGGGGAAGGUGGGGGUACCUCUUGUGUUUCCUUUUCUUGGAAUUAUUCUCUCUGGUGACCGGUAUAUAUCCAUUUGAGGCCCCUUGGCAUGAGAUAGAGCCCAGGUCACCAGGGGAGACUUAAAUAGACACCAGACCUCACCUCGAAGGCGACCUAAGGUGCUCCUGCCCCUUUGCCCUCCCCGUCCAGACCAGGCACUGCCUGUCAGGUGCUGCACGCUCCCAAACCUGUCCUGGAUUUUCCAUCCUCUUCAAGAUUCACCUUCCCAAACCUAUACCAUGUCAUCCGAGACUGCACAAAAGCUGAUCUGAAAAGUCUCCUCUGCCUCAGAUGCAGAUGAAUUGUCGACCCGUGGGGGGUAGUCAGUUUCCUUUCUGCUCACAAGAAGAUGGUGUGGCUCAUGGGAUGGUAACGACAGCCCCCAUUCAUGAAGUGGCUAGCUGUUGUACCAGAUAUGUAGAUAAGUUGCCUGGGCUUCUCGGGACAUGUGACCAGGUGGCAUCUGGGUUGCUCACCCAGGGCUUCUUGAUUGUUGCAGAGGAGGCAGCACCGGGCAGAGGGGCCCUUGAGAGAUGUCACCAUCCUGUUAAGAAAGGGCUGGACCACAGCGCUGCAGAGGUGAGCUCUGUUCAUUGGAGGUCUGGGGCUUGGCAUCCCGCAAGUGCCCACAGGUCCCCUGGUGUGAUGUUCUCUGGGAAGUAGGUAGAGGAGUGACGAGGGUGGCUUCGUCCUGGCCUUCUCUGGGGCCUUCAAGAACACACCUGGUUUCUAUUUAUGCCCUUGAUUCUGAGAGCUCUUCCUCAAAUGUUGGCAGCAGAACGUGUGAGUUGAAGCAGGGAAGGGAGUUUGGCAUAUCCACCUGUACGUGGGUCUCCGUCACUUCUCUGCCGCCUCCUAGCUUUGGGACCUUCUCUUACCUCUGGUUUCACCCUCUGGAAAGCAGGACUCAAAUGAGGCUAUUUGUCUUCAGAUCACAUGGCAUCUGUCUUUUACAACCUGAGACCUCUUUCACUUUUCCUUCGGAGGCCUCUCCUGUCUGGGCCACGGGGAAGGCUUUGUGCAGGACUGGAAGCAGUUGCUGGGUCCUUGGGCUCCACUGGGUUCACUACUCCCAGGCCUUUUCCAUGGGCCUCCUUUUCCAGCAAGCCCCCGUCUUUCCCUGCCCCUGCACUUGGACAUGAUCACCGGCUGCCCAUGGCCCGUUGGUAGGCAGUGCGGAUGGAGGGAGCGUGGGCGGGUUGUCCCGCGCUUGGAGAGUCUGCUUCCUUACCCUGCAGUUCCAGGAGCUUUCCCACCCUCCUGCUGCUCCCCUCAUACUCCUGGAGCCUCCAGGGCUUCAGGGGCUGUCCUGUGUGCGUUAGUGUCAUUGUUGGGGCUUUUAUUUCCUGCCCUGCUGUUGGGAACCGGACUACAUGUGCUGCGUGAGUUCCCCUGAAUGUUCAGUUGCUGCCACUCGGCCAUGGCAUGUUCCCAUGGGCCUGGCCUUGACACCCUUUUCUGCCCACCACUGGUGAAUGGCACGCUGAUUAGUGCUGGCCACCCUGCUGCAGGCCAUCCGCCGUCUCCCUCUUUAGAGUUAACUACUGUUCUUUUUAUGAGGAAACGGCGUGUCUAUUCAGGAAAUGAUCACUGCCAGCAUCUGCAGAGUGCUUACUGUCUGGCGGCUUCUGUGCUGAGCCCUUUUCUGCUGCCUGCCAUGCGCUCUAUGAGCAGGGGCAAGGCAGGUGCUCAUUCUCAGCUUCUUGUCUGAUGCAGAUGAGUCCACGGUGUGCAGAGGCCGUCGUGGAAGUUGUCGUGUCAGGAGCGCUGUAGACCGCAGUGUCCUUGAGUGUUCAUUCUGACUCUUCUCUGGGAGCAUUGAGAUUCCUUUUUGAGCCAAGUUUGGUGUGGAAAAAAACACUGCAGCUCAUCUCUGACUAAUUGGGGACGCUUUCAUGGAUGUCACCUUAAAGAAAGAUGAGGGGUGCUGCUUUGGAAGAAGCCUCGGGGGUCAGAACCACUCGCCCUCUCAAGGUAUUUAGGGGCUGACCGCGGACACUGGCGUAGCAGCGUGAAGCAGGAUGUUGUCGCAUGACCAUCGCCAAACCUUUCUCUUCUGUUGCCUCAGCACAGCGUGGAAGGACUCUGCCCUCUGUGUGAACAGGGCAGAGGGGACGUUCUGGGGCUCCAGGGACUUGGGAUUCAGAGCUGGAGACCUUCUACUGGCUCCCAGCAGGUGCCUCAGAACACUGCUGACCAGGAAGACUGUCUCUUCCCAUCUGGACCAGGUCAUCCCGUGGCUUCUGUGUCUCCCAUUUGCUCCUAGUAUAACUUUUUAGAACCAGGAGUUCCUGUUGGAGUCUUGUGUGCCAUGCGUCUUAUCUUCUCACCCACUUAAAUAAAUCUCGAAACUGC
rnacentral:lncRNA from 1 species